UGUGACUGUGCAUACUCGUUCUUGGCAGAGAAUUCACGGAUCUUGUCUCUGAACAGCUUCUGUAUUGGGUCCAGUUGUGCUAGAGGUAUGAAUGAAAACGAAAUAUCCUUGGUUAUUAAAUAGAGCCAUGUGACACGAAAACCUAAUGCUGACUAAAGAAAUCAGGAUGCAACACCCCAAGAUUCCUGAAGAUUGUUAAACAAAAUGAAGGAAUAAUAACAAAUUAAGAAAGAACCAAAGAUACACUAGGAUCAUGGGGAUCUGCUGGAGCCUAUCCCAGCACACAGUGGGACACCCUGGACAGGCCACCAGUCCAUCACAGGGCCACACAUAUAGACAGACAACCACACACACUCAGCAAUUUAGAAAGACCAAUCAACCUAAUGUACAUGUUUUUGGAAUGUGGGAAGAAACCGGAGUACCCGGAGUAAACCCACACAGGCAACAUGCAAACUCCACACAGAAAGACCCCUGCCGGUUCGAACCCAGGAUUCAAACCCAGGCCCUUCUUGCUGUGAGGCAACAGUGCUAACCACUAAGCCACCAUGCUGCCCCAUUUUAUUUAUAUAUUUCUAUUAAUUUUAACAUAUUGAACAAAACUGCUAUGUCUUCAGCCUGAUCACAGACUGGGCUCAGUGUGUUGCCCUAACAAUUUUGACAGCUACCUACAAUUAAGAGAAAAAUCCACCAAUCAAUCAUAUUACAUUUACUAUUAAUUUUCACAUUUUUUUAUUAUUAUUAGUCUUUCAAUAUUAAAUUGGUUUGAAUAAAAAGUGAGGCAUAAUAGAGAAGGUCUGUUUCAUGGUGUACUUGAUUAGCAUUGAUCAACAUGUGCUAUAGUGUAAACACUGGACCACAGAGAACAUGAAAAGUACAUUCUAAAAUGUCCUGAACGCUGUGUUCUUCUUCUGACCUUGAUUCAUCUUCUGCUAAUUCAGCACAGGCUGGAUCGGAUCUCAUUAUACUUUUGUUAACUCAGAUGAUUUUACCUUCGAAAACACUCUCUGUUGUGACAUCUGGACUCUUUUCUGUCGAGGCAUCCAUUAUUUUUGGCUGACUUGUGAAAACCACAACUUCCCCAUGAGCAACUUCCUGAACUGGUGAUACUGGAGGUUCUGUGAAUGGAAACCUGUCUGCUGUUUCUACAGGACCAAUUUCUACUUCUGGAGUAAGUUUAUGACGGACAGUCUCUUCUUUAUAAGGGAUCUGCGAGGAACAUGUGGUGAAGGCAGAAGCUUUAGAAAUGGGACAAUCUUGAAAGCUGGAUUUGGUUACAUGUAUUAUCUGCCUAGUUGCUGAAUGUUCUGGGGCAAUAUCCUGGGUUUGGAAAUUGUUUUACUUCUGAGGUUGCUUACAAAGUCAUUAUAUCAUUUACUUCAGAAGCACAGACUGCUACAAAGGAGGUUACAUUCUUGGGGGCAUUAAGGAGGUCUUUAUCUCCCGAAGCAGGAGUGGCUACUGUAAAAUCAUUUAUAGCAGGGAACAGGUCAGGAAACAGGCCAGGAAACAGGUUAAGAAACAGGUCAGGAAACGGGUCAGGAGACCGGUCAAGAAACAGGCCAGGAGACAGGCCAGGAGACAGGCCAGGGGACAGGUCAGGGGACAGGUCAGGGACACCACAGUAAGUCUCAGAGGCAGGAGCAAGGCCAGUUUCAGGUCCUGCAUAAUGGGUACAUGAUAUUUCACCAAUAACAUUAAUGGAAACAUCUGUACUUUCUGUCAUUCCUUCUAAAGAAGCACUGAAUGAUGUGGAGACAGGUGGAGACAAUUCUAAAACUUUGGUAGACUGGUUGUCUCUGGUGACUGAAGGUCUUUUCACCUUUUUUUCACACGUGGGUGUUUCAAAUAACGCAUCAACACAUUUCUUCACUGUUGCAGUAAAACUGAGGGGAGAUGUGAAGGUUCAGGGUGUUGUUUUUAUCACAGAUUUCUCAGCUGGUCUUUUAUACAUUUUGUGAGACAGCUUUCAAAGAAACCAACUGCUGAUUCUCUUUAGCCUUACUGUCAUUUUGCAGUAACAGAUUGCCAGUCUCGGUUAUUAUUUUGGGCUUUGGCUUUUCUAGAGGUGAAGAGAUCAGAAGGAUGAAAUUAAAAUAUUAAUGAUUAUCAAAAGUCACAUUAACUUACUUAUACUUGUGUAUCUGAUUGGCUUCUUGGGAUUUUCCAGCCUUAGUACUUAAGAGUUGCUAUGUUUGGAGCUCUUCUCAAUUCUACUGAAUGCACAUAACCUCCGUAUGUCCGUAACCUUGACUCUCUGUCUAUCUUUAAAUCUAGACUCAAGUCUCACCUGUUUAAGCUUGUUUACUCUUCCUAAAUCUUACUUGCCCUCUCACACAGUCACAAUCUUCUGUAUUUAUUUUUUUUGUUAUUGUUGCUUGUUUUUUGUCGUAUUGUUUCUAUGUGCUUUGUUUUGUAACUCGUUGUUCAGUGUCCUUGGGUGUUGAGAAAGGCGCCUAUAAAUAAAAUGUAUUAUUAUUAUUAUUAUUAUUAUUAUUAUUAUUAUUAUAACAUUUCUCAUGAAGACUCUAAAAUUACAGGAAACAAGAUAGUCAUACACAGUACCCUACCCACAGGUAUCCUUCCACAGAAAUCAUGAAGCGAGAUGAUCUCACCUCAUGAUUUCUGUGAUCAACCUAGUAGUUUUUCCCUGAAGAUUUGGCAUUCAUUCAAAUCCAGAACUCCACACCUUUGGUAAUAUAGUAAAUGGUACUGCUCCCAAACCUAUGAAAAUGUUCUUAGAAACCUCUCCCUCUUGAAUUUCUUUGUUACUCCAGUAUGAAUAAAUGCUUUGAUAACAACA